CUGCUGCCUUCCGUAGGAGUUUGGGCCGUGUCUCAGUCCCAAUGUGGCCGUCCACCCUCUCAGGCCGGCUACUGAUCGCUGUCUUGGUGGGCCGUUACCCCGCCAACUAGCUAAUCAGACGCGGGUCCAUCUCAUACCACCGGAGUUUUUCACACAAAACCAUGCGGUUCCGUGCGCUUAUGCGGUAUUAGCAGUCAUUUCUGGCUGUUAUCCCCCUGUAUGAGGCAGGUUACCCACGCGUUACUCACCCGUCCGCCA
rnacentral:rRNA from 1 species